GGGAUGGGGUGACUAGUGACAGAGUGAGGAAGGGAGUGACUAGGGACAGAGGGGGUGACUAGUGACAGAGUGAGGGGGUGACUAGUGACAGUCACCCCUUCCCUCUCUCUGUCACUAGUCACUCCCUCCCUCUGUCACCAGUCACUCCCUCCCUCUGUCACCAGUCACUCCCUCCCUCUGUCACCAGUCACCUCUUCCCUCCCUCACUUUGCCACUAGUCAUCUCUUCCCUCCC